UAGCUCUUUCAAGUCCCCAUGCCACUCCACUCAUGAGAAAGCACCUGCUUGAGUCCAUCUAACACAGGAGUGUCAAAACAGUGCCUAGAAACUGUGGUGUAUGUGUAAGUGAAGGAGAUGGUGAGAAGAAGAUGGACAAGGAGAAAAUAAGGGAUAAGCUCUUGCAGGUGAUCCUAUGUCUGGAUCUGGAAAUGGCUCAGAGCCAGGCUUCUUUUGAAGAACUUCUGGCACAUGAGAGUUGUUUGAAUGCUGAGACAAAAGAUGGGAGAAGGGACACUCUGUAGGUGACAGGAGAACUUGAGCCUGCACAGACUGUCAGAGAAGCUGAUAUUACUAGUAGACUUUAACCAACAAGGAGUUAGGAACUCAAACACUGAUGGCCAUUUAAAUAAACAGAUUAAUCCUUCAGCUGAUCUGAUUUAGUACAGCUCCCCUGACUCCUGCAGUUUGGUGCUGCCACACUCUGUGAUGACCAUAAAGCAAUGUCUUGGCACUACAAAAAGAAAUGGGGACAUUGGGGAAAUGUUCUUCCCUGACCUAAGAGGCUCCCCAGGGAAGGGGCUCUCCAAGCCAGUCGGAGUGUCUGGAUGACACUUAGCUGUAUGGUGUAGUUUAGUUCGGUAGUCCUGCAAGGAGCAGGUAGAAGGACUCAAUGAUUCUUAUGGGUCCCUUCCAACUCAAUACUGUGUGAUUCUGUAACUCAAAGCUCAUCAGGCAUUACUGGUAUUGCACAGUCUGUAUCACAGAAUUAAAUAUACUCUAUGAGGUAAGCCCUUCCUACACAUUGACCCUAGGAUCAAGUCUAAAACCAGGAGAGAAGGAAACUUCAUUCUUUCUCUCCUCAGUUCCCAGAUCCUUUGAUUAAAUGCUCCCAGAACUGAAGAAAAGAAGGGAGGAAAGGGAGGACUCAGACAGGCUCCAUCCCCUCACAAGUUUCAGUACCAGCCAAAUGGAAGAACCUAAAAACUGAAAGACAAGGAGGAGCAGAUUCUUCACAACAGAGACAACCAAACCAGGGGAGAUUGGUGCUCAGUACUUACAGUCCAAGCAGGCAGCAAGCUGGAAUUUCACAUGCAACA